rnacentral:rRNA from 1 species
GCUUACACGUGCGAGUCGAACGAUGAUUAUCUAGCUUGCUAGAUAUGAUUAGUGGCGGACGGGUGAGUAACAUUUAGGAAUCUGCCUAGUAGUGGGGGAUAGCUCGGGGAAACUCGAAUUAAUACCGCAUACGACCUACGGGUGAAAGGGGGCGCAAGCUCUUGCUAUUAGAUGAGCCUAAAUCAGAUUAGCUAGUUGGUGGGGUAAAGGCCCACCAAGGCGACGAUCUGUAACUGGUCUGAGAGGAUGAUCAGUCACACCGGAACUGAGACACGGUCCGGACUCCUACGGGAGGCAGCAGUGGGGAAUAUUGGACAAUGGGGGCAACCCUGAUCCAGCCAUGCCGCGUGUGUGAAGAAGGCCUUUUGGUUGUAAAGCACUUUAAGCAGGGAGGAGAGGCUAAUGGUUAAUACCCAUUAGAUUAGACGUUACCUGCAGAAUAAGCACCGGCUAACUCUGUGCCAGCAGCCGCGGUAAUACAGAGGGUGCGAGCGUUAAUCGGAAUUACUGGGCGUAAAGCGAGUGUAGGUGGCUCAUUAAGUCACAUGUGAAAUCCCCGGGCUUAACCUGGGAACUGCAUGUGAUACUGGUGGUGCUAGAAUAUGUGAGAGGGAAGUAGAAUUCCAGGUGUAGCGGUGAAAUGCGUAGAGAUCUGGAGGAAUACCGAUGGCGAAGGCAGCUUCCUGGCAUAAUAUUGACACUGAGAUUCGAAAGCGUGGGUAGCAAACAGGAUUAGAUACCCUGGUAGUCCACGCCGUAAACGAUGUCUACUAGCCGUUGGGGUCCUUGAGACUUUAGUGGCGCAGUUAACGCGAUAAGUAGACCGCCUGGGGAGUACGGCCGCAAGGUUAAAACUCAAAUGAAUUGACGGGGGCCCGCACAAGCGGUGGAGCAUGUGGUUUAAUUCGAUGCAACGCGAAGAACCUUACCUGGUCUUGACAUAGUGAGAAUCCUGCAGAGAUGCGGGAGUGCCUUCGGGAAUUCACAUACAGGUGCUGCAUGGCUGUCGUCAGCUCGUGUCGUGAGAUGUUGGGUUAAGUCCCGCAACGAGCGCAACCCUUUUCCUUAUUUGCCAGCGGGUUAAGCCGGGAACUUUAAGGAUACUGCCAGUGACAAACUGGAGGAAGGCGGGGACGACGUCAAGUCAUCAUGGCCCUUACGACCAGGGCUACACACGUGCUACAAUGGUAGGUACAGAGGGUUGCUACACAGCGAUGUGAUGCUAAUCUCAAAAAGCCUAUCGUAGUCCGGAUUGGAGUCUGCAACUCGACUCCAUGAAGUCGGAAUCGCUAGUAAUCGCAGAUCAGAAUGCUGCGGUGAAUACGUUCCCGGGCCUUGUACACACCGCCCGUCACACCAUGGGAGUCUAUUGCACCAGAAGUAGGUAGCCUAACGUAAGAGGGCGCUUACCACGG